rnacentral:rRNA from 1 species
AAGUACUGCUGGUGUAGAGAUGAAAUUCUGUCAUACCUCUUUUCAAAAGAAAAACAUGGCACAGGUAUAGGCGAAGGCAUCCCCUUAUGUGAUAACUGACGUUGAGGGACGAAGGCUUUGUGUAGCGAACAGGAUUAGAUACCCUAGUAGUCGAAGCAGAAAAUGAUGAAUGUCAUAGAUUAGAUGUAUAAGUUUAUUCUAUAAAUGAAAGUGUAAGCAUUCCACCUCAUGAGUAAUUUGGCAACAUUGGAACUGAAAUCAUUAGACCGUUUCUGAAACCAGUAGUGAAGUAUGUUGUUUAAUUUGAUGAUCCGCAAAAAACCUUACCACAAUUUGAAUAUUUAUAUUUUUUUAUUGUUUUCUUCUGAUUUUCUUCCUUUUUCCUUCCUUUUCUUAUUCAUUUUCUUCUUCUUUAGAAGAAGAAAAGGAAAAAAGAAGAACAAGAUAAUACUGAAUACUGAUAUAGAUCAAAAAAGGAAGAAAAUUAAGCAAGAGGCAAUAAGAUAUAUUUACAAGCGUUGCACGGCUGUCUUCAGUUAAUGUCGCGAGACUUUGGUUAGUUCCAUUAAAUUAACGUAAACCCUUACUUUAUUUUUAUAUAGAGUA